AGUGAAAUAAUCUGCCAAUGGAACUAGAACUGGGUUGCUAGGUGACAGGCUGGGCUUGGCUGGGGUUGCUAGGCAACGAGAAGUGGAAUAUUCUACCAAUGGAACUCGGAAUUUUCCAUCAAUAUUAAGGGAUUAUUGACU